GAACGCGCUGAACGAUGGCGUCCUAAUGGCGUCAUUGUCGUUGUCAUUGCUGGAGGAGAGAAGCUGACCAGGAACUCCAACGUGACGCGGAAGAGGAAUGGAAUUCCUGGUAGGAUUCUUACCGCUCAAGGAGCAGAUCCCUCAGGAGGUCGUCCAAAGCCCGAAUCCGGUCUCGGGUAUUUUGCAUGUUGCCACCCGCUCCAGAUUGAUGAGCGAACGACGGGGAUUGAACCCGCGCGUGGUGGAUUCACAAUCCACUGCCUUGAUCCACUUAGAUACAUCCUCCCCUACCCCCGCAUUGGUUUUAGUCUCUAUCUACGAUCAGAUUAUUUCUGA
rnacentral:lncRNA from 1 species